AGAUAUCCAUGAUGGCCUUUGGCUUGUGCUGAAGUGGGCCACGAAAGAAUGCUCAAGCUGCUCAAAGAGUUAAUACUUUUCGACUGAAGUCUGAAAUACCAGGCUCGAGCAGCCUUCCGAAGAGUUAUCGAGAAGCCAAUGCAUAAGAGGAUGUCGGUUGCCCCUUGGAUCAUCAUGAGAGCCUUAUAGCUCUCUACGUGGUCG
rnacentral:lncRNA from 1 species